rnacentral:rRNA from 1 species
CCCUUAGAUGUUCUGGGCCGCACGCGCGCUACACUGAUGAACGCAACGAGACCACCUGUACCGAAAGGCAUGGGUAAACUUGUGAAAGUUCAUCGUGAUGGGGAUAGAUUAUUGCAAUUAUUAAUCUUCAACGAGGAAUUCCUAGUAAGCGCGAGUCAUCAGCUCGCGUUGAUUACGUCCCUGCCCUUUGUACACACCGCCCGUCGCUCCUACCGAUUGAAUGGUCCGGUGAAAAUUUCGGAUAGUGGCGAUGCUGGCGGUUCGCCGCCGGCGCUGCCGCUAGAAGAUCUUUAAACCUUAUCAUUUAGAGGAAGGAGAANUCGUANCA